rnacentral:sRNA from 1 species
GAGAAGAGACCGGUUAGUUUAGCAUCAAGCCAGUUUACGUAUUUUGCUCAGUGUUAGUUUUUGUUUUAGCUCAACUUUUCCACUUUGUUUGCAAGAAACCCGUUUCGAUCAACUCAAAAAACAUCUACAGAUACGAAUAUGUAUAUGAGUUGGCUCUCUGUUGGCCAAUAUUGCGACAUGGGCUAAGCGGUCAAGCGACCUUAAAAGUGAAACUGUUUUGAGCGGCAUCAGCUGUGUGGCCCACGGCGGCUGCGAUGUACCGUCGGCUGAGGCCUUGAACCGUGCAAAGAGAUGACUGCAAACACAGUCUCAAUCAGCGGAAAGCCAAGUUUUAGCCAUGCACUUCCGACAAGUUGCAAAAUCACACACGCUGGCAACAACUGCAUCAACAGACAGGGAGCCAGGGAGCACGGAGCUCGGGGCACAGAGCACUCUUCAAGGUAAACCACUCCAAUCAGGCGUUGCAAAAAAAUAAAAAGCAAACAAACUCGAGAAACAAGAAAAGACGAUUUCAAUUUUUGUGCCGCCACCGCCGCCGCCGACACCGCCGCCGCACUCAGCAACAACAAUGCCAUCAAGUUGCUGAUGCUGAUGCUGACGUAGACUGGCUGACAUUCGAUUAAACGUUAAUAAAGCAACAAUUCCACACA